rnacentral:rRNA from 1 species
UACAGAGGUCUCAAGCGUUGUUCGGAUUCAUUGGGCGUAAAGGGUGCGUAGGUGGCUUGGUAAGUUGAAGGUGAAAUCUCGGAGCUUAACUCCGAAACUGCCUUCAAUACUGCCGGGCUUGAGGACUGUAGAGGAGAAUGGAAUUCACGGUGUAGCAGUGAAAUGCGUAGAUAUCGUGAGGAAGACCAGUGGCGAAGGCGAUUCUCUGGGCAGUUCCUGACACUGAGGCACGAAGGCUAGGGGAGCAAACGGG